UCCCUCUCUCUCUCGACAGAAACCCUAGGGACCUUUAUUCCUCCUGUCGCCUCCCUCUUCCUCCACCACCACAACUCGCCUCCCUCUUCCUCUACCACGACAAAGCCAACGACCGGCAAUCAUAUACACUACAACAGAUCUCCAAAGAUACAUCCUAAAUCACAAUAGAUUUACCCUAAUCCUCGAAAAUUAAUACUUCAAAACGCACCAAAAUCUGGAAAAAUGAAGAGAAUCACACAAUGUACAGAGGUAGCAAAGAACGGAGGGCGCCGGAAAGGAUGGAGUCUCCAGUGAAAACACAAAAACAUCGACGGCGGUCAAUGCAUAACGGAAUGAGGACACAGUGAUUAAGAAAUCGGAUGCUUUUGGAGCCGGCGAAACACCAAGUGCAGGCUAAGGGGUAGACAACACUAAAGAUAUGACCCUUUGAAUGAGAAGAAGCAACCAAAGAAUGAAGUUUGAUGAGCUUAAAAGAUAAGUUAUUCAUAAUUCAGUAAUAUAGGCAAUAGAAACUGAAGUAGUAUAUUCAAAAUUCUGAGUGCUUUUGAUUAUGUUUGCAUGAUAUACUUGCUUAAAUCAUGAUUAAUAGACAUUAGUGAAUACAAAUGCAUAUAAAACUUUAAACAUAAAGUUAUGGAAAUGAUUCUAACUCUAGGACUUGAUAAUUGAUACUCCUCUACUAGCUUGCAUCAUAUUUUCAAGUGAAUAAACAGAGUCAAACAAUAAGGAUGUAAUAAGAGGGAAAUGUCUGAAAAAUAAAUAAAUGUAACGACCCGCUAAGCCGAUAUUAUUAUAAACUAUAUUAUUAGCUUGAUUAUCUAUAUAAGUAACUUUUAUGCGAUUAAAUCCGAGCUACGAUAGAUUGUCGUCGUUAUUUGUUUUGACGAUAGACAAGUGAAUAGAAUCCACAAAUAUAUAAUACACCUAUAUGAAUAUAAUAAAUUUAAAUGAAUAAAUAAAUAAGAUCCAAAAAUUCAAAAUCUUGAUGUCCGAUACAUCCAACAAAAUCUAAUACAUCCUGCGUUUUAAGAAAAUCAGGUACUUCAACGAGGACAGCCUCGAACAGGAACCGAGUAUACCUACACCAAAUUAAAUGAAUAAGUGGACAAAUACUAAAAUAAUUACUUUAAUAAACUAAUUAAAAUAAAAAAAAGGAGAGAGAGGGCAGAUCUAGUGGAUCGAUUUUUUUUAGACACGGCAUUUAAUUAGUGCAGACAAAUUAUAUUCCUUCCUGACUAAGGAGAAUAACAAAUCAUAUUCCUUCCUUCCUGACGAAGGCAAAUCAAAUCAUAUUCCUUGCUACACCGUCACUUUUACUCCAUCUCCAUGCAUUGUAUAUAGACACACAAUCAUUUUUUUUUCACUCAACCACGGUUAAAACCGUUCCUUCCCCCUCACUCCAUAAAUCUCACCCACAUCACCGUCACACGCCUUUUUCAAUAUAUCUCACCACCCUAAUCUCCUCCAUCCCACUUUUCGACACCACAAACUCCACACAACACCAUAAGAGAGCAGCGAGGGGGAAGGGAAAGGAGCAGGCGAGUGGUAACAGCAAGGACAGCCACAACCGAGGAGGAUUCACCCACGUUAAGGUAAAUUCCUCAACACCCCAUAUCCUCUGCAUCAUGAUAGGCAGCCAAGUGCAUAGCUCCAAGAACAUAGAAUUUCACUAAGAACAUCACAGGCAUCUCAAGAACAUGGAGUCAUAAGGUUGCCACAACACCAUAGCAUAGCUACUGCCAAACCACCAACAUGACGCUCCCAUCAUAGACCCCAAAGAGGAAACACAGCAGUCAAACUCUCUCCAAUCAGAAAAGUUUGUCACCCUUAUUAACCGAAAAUUCUAAGUUUAACGGAAUAAUUAAAAGGGAAAGAGAGCAAAAGAACUUAACUUUAUAAUGAUAACGUAUAUUGCGGGACGUUUCGGGGUGGUUCCGGGCGUGUUCGGGGCUGCGCGGUGCCUGGCCGGCGCCUGGACUCCCGGCGACGGCAGGAGGGUGGCCGCUCCAGCGGCUGGGUUGCCUCCACUCCAGGAGCGACGACCGACGGCGACGGAGCAGCAGCGGUGGCCGACGGCGAGCUGCAGCGGGCGACGGCGGCGUUCCUCCUCGCUGCGGCAGCAGCUUCUCCCGGCGACUCUGCGACAGCGGACGGACAGAGGCAGCAGCAGCUGGCGACUUCCUGGCGACCGCCGCGGCAGCUCCGACGGCAGCGUCGAGCCGGAGAGAGAGCGACGAAAGGG